CAAAGCUCCAUAGAUGACAAGCCU
rnacentral:siRNA from 1 species